rnacentral:rRNA from 1 species
GACGAACGCUGGCGGCGUGCCUAACACAUGCAAGUCGAACGGAGCACUUCGGUGCUUAGUGGCGAACGGGUGAGUAACGCGUGAGCAACCUACCUUUCAGUGGGGGACAACAGUUGGAAACGACUGCUAAUACCGCAUGAUGUCAUCGGGGGACAUCCUCUGGUGACCAAAGCUUUAUGUGCUGAAAGAUGGGCUCGCGUCUGAUUAGCUAGAUGGCGGGGUAACGCCCACCAUGGCGACGAUCAGUAGCCGGUCUGAGAGGAUGGACGGCCACAUUGGGACUGAGAUACGGGCCCAGACUCCUA